AAGCAAUGAGGAUAAACAUUUUUUAAACAGUUAUUAACCGUGGUGACUGAAUACGCUAUUCUGAGCUGUGG
ensembl:snoRNA